GCCGGCUUAGCUCAGUUGGUAGAGCGCCAGUUUUGUAAACUGGAUGUCGCGGGUUCGAUUCCUGCAGCCGGCACCA
rnacentral:tRNA from 51 species